rnacentral:lncRNA from 1 species
GUAAAAAUAUCUAGGUUGAAGCAGUGGCAAUAUGUAACUACUACUUUUACAUAAGUAAUUUUUAUGUGCCUUUUUUCUAAAGUUAAGGGUGUGGAUAAGAGUCCUUUCAGUAUAAUAUUUUCCUAAGAAUUGAAUGUGUUAAUAAUAGAAAGUUUAGAAUAGCACUGGUUUCAUGCUAAAAAUGGAAUGUAUCCCUUCAAUGUAUCAGAAACAAAUGGCAGUAUGUACCCAAAUCUAUACAUGGCAAUUGUAUUUUUUCACUCCUCUUCACAAUGGUUUUCACUAUUUUCUAGGAAAGUUAUGGAAAAUACUGAACAAUUCACAUAAAUAAAAAUAUUUUGGCAGACAAGAUAAUUAUUAAAAUUUAUUAUUCAACAGAUAAGUGCACCAAAUCACCAUGGGUAGAUGAAAAUCCACCAGUGUGCCUGGUUUCAUCCUCAUGGAGUCUCAGAAACCAAGAGGUGAAGAAAGCUGCCCUGAGAGUCCUGGAAAAGAGAGCAGAUUCCAUUCAAUUAAAAUAACAGUGAUGCUAGACAUUUACACUUUUCCCCUGUCUUUUGUUGUUCUCAGAAAUUCUUUUUUCUCAUUGAAAAAAAUGAAAUCUUAUUUUUUUACCUUUCCAUCUGCUCUUUUCUUAACAAACAGGAUCUUGGAUAUUUUGAGAAACAAGUACUUACAAAAUCAUAUUAUAAUUUGGAGUCAUCAAUUAAGUUUCAAAUCUAAGAUGUAAAAAAUCUACACUAUUAAGGAAAAACCUUAUGCCAAAAAUAAGAAUCUUUGUAAUUUUAUAACACACAUCAAUAUGAAAUUUCUGCAAAUCUCAAUUUUAAAAUAGUUUUACAAUAAAACAGCACUUCAUUUUGCACAUGUCAUUAUUUUUAUAGUGAUUUUCAGCAGCAAAUUUUGGGGCAAGUCAAGAUUUUCAAGUCAAGAUUACUGCAUUUACAUUCUACAUCUUGUGCUUGUCUAGCAUUUGACAAACACUAAUUUGCUGAGAUAGGUUCUGUACACCCACAUGCACAAUAUAUAACAAUUCCAUGUCUCUCUCAUCAGAAGUUGGACAUAAAACUUUAAGAACAAUAAAAUAAGUGCUGGCUAUUAUCACCAGAUGGCUUGCAUUCCUAUAAUAUUUUGGCAUAAUAAACACUACAUUUUUCUGAACAGUGUCCCUUUGUUUCACCAAUCUCAGUUUUUUGUACCAGGG